rnacentral:ribozyme from 1 species
AGUUGCAAGUUCAAGGCCGUGGCAGAAGUGCUCAUGGUGCAGCCUGUCAGAUUCCAGUGAAAUCUGUGAAUUCUGCU